AAUAUCACCAGUGGGAAUCUACUGUGGAAAAUUGAGUACAACACUAUCAUCAUAUGAUUUGUUUUGCUCAUAUUUGGAUGUGCCAUUGGCUGCGGAGCCAGACAGUGAACUCCACACAAUGAGGAGCCUGCGAAAACGCAGAGAAGGCAAGAAAGGAUCCAAACAUUUAGGCAGCAUCAGAUGGGUAGCUGGCUUGUGGUUGACCUGGCCUUUGGUUAGAUAACUGUGCCUGAUCCUUAUGGCCAGGAAGGAAGGAGCUGAAGAAUUCACAUUUGGGCUGAUGGGCCUGGGGUAGGGAUGACCAACAGACCACAUGCUUCUUGUCUCUUCUACUCCCUGAUACUGUGAUAGACAGGGCUAAGUGAUCAUCCACUCCCCCCACCCUCCAGCCUCUGAGUGGGCCACUUUUCUAGCAUGGAAUUC
rnacentral:lncRNA from 1 species